AUGGCUCCCACAAAGAAAGGUGGUGAAAAGAAGGGUCGUUUUGCUAUCAGUGAGAUGGUGACCUGGGAAUAUACCAUCAACAUUCACAAGCACAUCUCUAGAGUGGGCUUUAAGAAGCUUGUCUUUCAGGCACUCAAAGAAAUCUGGAAAUUUGCCAUGAAAGAGAUGGGGACUCCAGGUGUGUGCAUUGAUACCAGUCUCAACAAAGUUUUCUGAGCCAAAGAAAUAAGGGAUGUCACAUACCAUAUCCAUGUGAAGUUGUCCAGAAAACAUAAGAAGAUGAAGAUUCACUAAACAUAGGUAAAUAUUGGUUACCUAUGUGCUUGUCACCACUUAAAAAAAUCCAUACGCAAUCAGUGUGAAUGAAAAC
rnacentral:lncRNA from 1 species